AAGGGUAAUGGUUUGUCAUAUUGCAAAUCAGACCUCAAAUGCUGUUCAGGCAAGAGGGAUUUAGAGAAGCAUGAAGCUUCUGUUAAGCAUAAGAAAAAUUCGAGAAGUACAUGUAUGUAUAGAGUUGCGUUUUAUAGUUGUCAAGUUCGUGUCGUGUGUCCACGUGCUUCUUGUGCUCUUUUUAUGUAUACGGUCGUAGUUCGAUUUCCUUUAACAAAUUGUUAUGUGAAAAAUUUACUAAACAGUGUUUCAUGUUGGUUUUUAUAUGUUAUUUUAAUUGUUAUUACUUUACUCUUAGGCAUCGAUCAACCAACUAUAUUUUCUUUAUUGCCUGAGGCGUCAACUUCUUUUAAAAAUAAGGUUAAAUGUGCUGAAAUACAGAUGGCUUUCUUUUUGGCGAAAAACAACAUUUUCUUUGCUUUGGCGGAAGAUCUCAGCAGUAUCAUGCAAUCUGUUGCUAGCGAUCCCAAUGUCGUACAUUCACUAAAAUUUGGACGGACAAAGGCUCAAGCUAUAAUAACAUCGGUAACUGGACAAGUGGCAGAGUACGACUUAAUAGAACGGUUAAAAUCGAAUAAGUUUUCGCUUAUACAAGAUACUUUUCUGGGGCUUAUUGCAGUCACUGACAGCUCUGCCACGGCAUUGAAUAAUGAAUGCAAGAAAUUUUUUCAAGAAAGGGACAAACCAUAUGAGCAGAACAUGAUAGGAUAUGCUGCAGAUGGAUGCAAUGCAAUGUUUGGCCAAAACCAUUCGCUUUCGCAACUGCUGAAGAAGGAUAUUCCGAAUUUGUUUUUGAUGAAAUGUAUAUGUCACUCAUUUCACCUCUGCGCGUCUUAUGCUUGCAAAAAAUUGCCAAAAAAAGUGGAUGGAUUUGCAAGAGAUGUCUAUAACUUUAAAUCAAAAAGCCCAAAACGUAUCGGAGACUAUAAGGAGUUUCAGUCUUUCGUUAAUGUGAAACCACACAAACUUUUACAUAUCCGACAAACAAGGUGGCUAUCUCUGCUUCAAGUAGUUGAAAGGCUGUUAGAACAACUUCCUGCGUUAAAACUUUACUUUCAAGGAGCUGCAUUGAAUGACCAGUUAAAAUCCGAUUCUCCAAAUGUGCUUAGAUUCGACGACAGAACUGUAUUUGGAGUUUCUGAAAUUUGUGCUGCCCUAUUUCAACAAUUUAAACAAGGAAAUGCAGUCAGAAAGUCCAAAAUUGUAUUUGUUGUACGAAAAUCUUCUUAAAUUUUACAAGACAAUAGUUGAGUGCUUUCUAAAAUCGGAGUUUUUAUUAUUACCUGAUGAAGAAUUACUUAGGAUUGAUUUCGCUAACGAUGAGAACCACUUGCCCUUAAAAGAUAUGUAUUUCGGAGGAAACUUUGCGGCUUUGUUGACAAAAAAAACAUAAUAUGGAACGAUAUGAAAUCAUCACCUGCCUUCAAUUUUAUAUUGAAAGUUUAAGGCAACUACAUAAUCGGUUUUCCUUUGAGGAUGAGGAGCUGCAGAAAAUGAAAAGUUUACACUUCUUAAAUCCAGCGACAAUACUCAACAAUAGUUUGAAAGCAAAGCUACCAUCAAUUGCACAUUUGGGGCAAAUGUUUCCAGGAUUGUGUUCACAAGAUAUGACGGAGCUAGACCGCGAAUGGCGACUUCUCCGGAACAUGAACUUUCCCUUCAAAGAGGAGGAAGCGGUACCGCCAGACGUCUUUUGGCGUUAUGUUUCAAACGUAAAAAACGGAAAUUCAACCCACAUGUUUCCCAUCUUGACGGAGUUAACCCAAAAUUUGCUUGUUUUGCCACAUAGCAGUGCUAAUGUUGAGUGUUUAUUUUCAGAAAUUAAUUUAAUUAAGACAAAUAACAGAAACAAAUUAAACACGGAGACUUUAAAAGGAUUGCUUCACACCAAAAGUGGAUUAAAGGAAAACUUGGAGCCUUCUGACACCUAAAA